rnacentral:rRNA from 1 species
CAUGCCGCGUGUAUGAAGAAGGCCUUCGGGUUGUAAAGUACUUUCAGCGGGGAGGAAGGGAGUAAAGUUAAUACCUUUGCUCAUUGACGUUACCCGCAGAAGAAGCACCGGCUAACUCCGUGCCAGCCACGUCGGUGACUGAGCGGGCUGGCAAGGCGCAUA